ensembl:lncRNA
UGAAUGCAGUGCAGUGCUGGAAGCUGCUGCUGACUGUGUGAAUGUGUGUCUGUGCUGCUUGUUGCUGCUGUCAAACUUCAGAUGAGCAGGUAGUGAAGCCCGUGGUGAGCGUGUACCCAGCAGCAUCCAGAGCCCACCUGGAGGGGAACAGCUCCCUGCUGUGUGUGGCCUCAGCCAUGUUUCCUCCUCUGGUCCAGUUCUCCUGGAAAAGACAGAAGAAGAACGGCGGAGAAGCGGAGGAGCUGCCCCCUGCUGAGGGAGAGCAGCUGGAGCUCAGAGAGGCGGGACGCACCAUUGCCAUCAGGAUGGUUGAUGGGAGCCAUUCUGACACAUAUAAAUACAGCUGCUGGGUGAAGCACGAGGGGGGCACAGUGGAGGCCCGAACACAACAAGAGCUUCCAGCUCCAGCAGCCUCCUGUCCUCCAGAGAGAGAGCCAGCAGACCUGCCAGCUCUGCAGCCAGCUGACUUGUCCUUCCAGUCUCAGUGCAGGGUGAAGCUGCUCUGCCUGCUGUACACAGUGCUGAUAGUGAAGAGUCUGGUGUACUGCUGUGGACUCUCUCUGCUGAUGAUGCUCACAAACAAGGGAGCGUCCACCAACUGCACACAUGCUGACUGACUGUUUCCUGCUCG